GCCGGCAUGGCUCAGUGGUUUGAGUUUUGAACUACAAAUCUGGAGACCAGGGUUCAGUUCCAUGGUUGUCC